UACAGAGGGUGCAAACGUUGCUCGGAAUCAUUGGGCGUAAAGCGCACGUAGGCGGUUCGUUAUGUCGGAUGUGAAAGCCCUUGGCUUAACCGAGGAAGUGCAUCCGAAACUGGCGAGCUAGAGUACUAAAGAGGAUCGCGGAAUUCCCGGUGUAGAGGUGAAAUUCGUAGAUAUCGGGAGGAACACCGGUGGCGAAGGCGGCGAUCUGGGUAGAUACUGACGCUGAGGUGCGAAAGCGUGGGGAGCAAACAGG
rnacentral:rRNA from 1 species